rnacentral:tRNA from 1 species
CGCGUCCUUAGCUCAGUUGGAUAGAGCACUCGCCUUCUAAGCGAGCGGUCAGAGGUUCGAAUCCUCUAGGACGCGCC